UGUUAAUGUUCAGUUUGCUCAGUGGAUCGAUGUUUGCUGGCAUCGCCUCGCCCUGCCUGUGCGUGUGCGUGUGUGUGUGUAUGUGUGUGUGUGUGUGUGCACGCGUGUGUGUGUGCGCGCGUGUGCGUGUGCGAACAGCAGCUCUCCCUUCCACCCGCAGCCUCCCUGUCCUCUCCCAUAUCACUCACUGCCUGGCAUCUGACAGCACGGAACCUGCAGCGCUCCGCGCACACACACGCACGCACACACACACCACGCACACCCGGGCACCGCUCCGCCAUACAGCUCUGCGAGGAGGAGGAGGAGAGGAGAGGAAAGGGAGGAAGCAGCCAGCCCCACAGUCUUUCCAGAGCUGCCUUUUUUUUUUAAUAUAUACAUAUCUAUUUUGUUAUUUAUUUAUUACCGUUCUCUGGCACUGUGGGCGCCUUUCAUUUGCUCCUGAGCUCGGAUGUUUGAAUCAAAGCAAAGCAAGUGUUGCAACAGUUAAAAAAAAAAAAAAAAGCCAACCAAAAAAAAAGAGAGAGAGAGAAAGAAACCUAGAUCUCUAAAAUAAAAUAAAAACCAAACAGGUUCCUAUCAGUGAAGUGGAAAGGAGGGGGGCAGGGGAGGCUUGAGGGGGGUGUCGGGGAAAGCAGCUGAGAGGCAGAGGCAGAGAAACACGACUCAGGAGCGUCUCAGGGCUCUCGGAUCUGGGGACAGAAGUGAGAUUGGAGAAAGUAGAGCGAUGCCAAGGAGGAAACAGCAAGCACCCAAACGGGCUGCAGGUUAUGUCCAGGAGGAAGAUUUAAAGGAAGAGGAAGAUAUAAAGGAGGAGGAAGAAGAUGAUGAUGACAACAACUCAACUGCUCAGCUCCAGGGCAGCAACGACACUGGCACAGAUGAGGAACAUGAAGUGGGUCCUGAGCAGAAAGGGAACUUUAGUUACCAGAAUUCCCCUGUCAGUCACGUUUCUAACCAGGAUGCAGAGAAUGAGUCACUGCUAAGUGAUGGUAGUGACCAUGUGGCAGAUAUUAAAAGUGUUUGCUCUAGAGAGCCGCAGGACCCGAAAACCAGCACCCACCCCAAAGCCCAGAAUGAAGCACACGAUUGCAUGGAUAAAAUGACAGCGGUCUAUGCCAACAUACUGUCAGACUCUUAUUGGACAGGCUUAGGGCUGGGUUUCAAGUUGUCCAACUCUGAAAAGAGGAGUUGUGACAACAGAAAUGGAGGGAACAAAGCUGAUUUUGAUUGGCAUCAAGACGCGCUGUCAAAAAGCUUACAGCAGAAUUUACCUUCCAGACCUGUCUCGAAACCCAACCUGUUCAGCUCGGUCCAGCUCUACAGGCAGAGCAGCAAAAUGUGUGGAACUGUGUUCACGGGCGCCAGCCGGUUUCGGUGCCGGCAGUGCAGCGCUGCCUACGACACGCUGGUGGAACUCACGGUUCACAUGAAUGAGACAGGUCACUACCAAGAUGACAACCAUAAAAAGGACAAGCACAGACCUACCAGCUACUCAAAGCCCCGAAAAAGGGCUUUCCAGGACAUGGACAAGGAAGAUGCACAAAAAGUUCUGAAAUGUAUGUUCUGCGGUGACUCUUUUGAUUCCCUUCAAGAUCUGAGCGUUCAUAUGAUAAAAACAAAACAUUACCAAAAAGUGCCUUUGAAGGAGCCGGUACCAACCAUUUCUUCAAAAAUGGUCACUCCAGCAAAGAAACGUGUGUUUGAUGUUAACAGGCCUUGUUCCCCCGAUUCCACAACGGGGUCUUUCUCAGAUACCUUUUCUCCUCAGAAGAAUGCGAACCUGCAGUUAUCAUCUAACAACCGCUACGGCUACCAGAAUGGCGCCAGCUAUACGUGGCAGUUCGAAGCCUGCAAAUCCCAGAUUUUGAAGUGUAUGGAAUGUGGAAGUUCCCAUGACACCUUGCAGCAGCUCACGACCCACAUGAUGGUCACUGGCCAUUUCUUGAAAGUCACAAGUUCAGCUUCAAAGAAAGGAAAACAAUUGGUUCUGGAUCCUUUAGCUGUGGAAAAAAUGCAAUCGCUGUCUGAGGCACCAGCCAGUGACAGCCCAGUUUCAAAACCAUCCAGUAAAUCAUCCGCAGAAAGCAUAGUUCCCACCUCUGAACUAAAAAAAGAAAGUAAAAAAGAUAAAGUUGAUGAUGCAAACAAAGAUGAGAAGGCAGUAAAAAGUGAAGAGUAUGAUGAGACUCUUCAGAAGCCACUGGAUCCUACAAUGAAAUAUCAGUACCUCAGAGAAGAAGAUUUAGAAGAUGGUUCAAAGGGUGGUGGGGACAUUUUAAAGUCCUUGGAGAACACUGUCACAACAGCCAUCAAUAAAGCUCAAAAUGGGGCACCCAGCUGGAGUGCAUAUCCCAGCAUCCAUGCAGCUUAUCAGCUCUCGGAAGGAGCUAAACCAUCUUUGCCUGUGGGUUCCCAAGUACUGCAAAUCAGGCCAACGAUCACCAAUAAACUGAGGCCGAUAGCUCCCAAGUGGAAGGUCAUGCCUCUGGUCCCUAUCUCAGCAAACGUGGCCCAGUGCACUCAAGUGAAGAAGGAAGCCGAUGACAAGGAGGAGGUGCAAAAGGACUAUGCUAAAGAGGGCAUCCAAGCUGAGCCUGCCUUGCUCAGCCAGAGCGAGAAAGAACCUCUCCUCAAAUCUGAAGUCUCUGUGGAGCCAAAAAAAACAGAACCAUGUCCCUUGAAAGAAGAAGACAAAAUUAAAGAGGACAGUGGAAAAGAAAAACCGGUCCUCAAGGAACCAACCGCAGCUUCUCUUAGUAAUGGCUGUGCUGCUGCCAACCACUCGUCUGAGCUGCCGUGUGUCAACCCCCUCAGUGCACUGCAGUCAGUACUCAAUAAUCACUUGGGCAAAGCCACUGAGCCCCUAAGGCCUCAGUCCAACUCCAGCCCCAGCUCUAGCACAAUUUCUGUGUUCCACAAACCGAAUCUAAAUAUGAUGGAGAAGCCAGUUUUGUCUCCUGCUCCAACCCCACCAAAACCUGCAAGUGUAUCCAGGCACUAUUUGUUUGAAAACAAUGAUCAGCCUAUUGACCUGACCAAAUCCAAAGGCAAGAAAGCUGAGUCAGCUCAAGCACAAUCUUGUACUUCUCCACCUCAGAAACAUGCUCUGUCUGACAUCGCUGACAUGGUCAAAGUUCUUCCCAAAGCUACUACACCAAAACCUGCUGCAUCUUCAAGGAUCCCAUCUAUGAAAUUAGAAAUAGAUGUCCGACGCUUUGAGGAUGUCUCAACAGAAGUCUCCACUCUGCAUAAAAGGAAGGGCAGACAGUCAAACUGGAACCCUCAGCAUCUUCUCAUUUUGCAAGCUCAGUUUGCUUCCAGCCUCUUCCAGACAUCUGAAGGUAAAUAUUUAUUAUCAGAUCUAGGCCCACAAGAGCGCAUGCAGAUUUCAAAAUUUACUGGACUGUCUAUGACCACCAUCAGCCAUUGGUUGGCAAAUGUCAAGUAUCAACUUAGGAAAACCGGAGGAACAAAGUUUUUGAAAAACAUGGACAAAGGACAUCCAGUCUUUUACUGCAGUGACUGUGCAUCUCAGUUUCGAACCCCAUCUACUUACAUUAGCCACUUAGAAUCUCAUCUAGGUUUCCAAAUGAAAGACAUGAACAGGCUGGCUGUGGAGCAGCAAACCAAGGUAGAGCAAGAAAUCUCCAGAGUUUCAGUUCAAAGAUCUCCUGAAACAAUAGCUGGAGAAGAGGACACAGACUCUAAGUUCAAAUGUAAGUUGUGCUGUCGGACAUUUGCGAGCAAACAUGCAGUAAAACUUCAUCUAAGCAAAACACACAGCAAGUCACCAGAACACCAUUCACAAUUUGUAGCAGAAGUGGAUGAAGAAUAACUCUUAAGAGCAGAGUUGAAUUGCCCAGAAUCGCUGGAGAAGAAGAAGACACCAGGAGCACAGUCUUGCACGGUGCUGGGCUCCCGGCUCCAGGGACACGGGAAGGACACCCCACACCUUGCGGCACGAGGCCCCAGGGCUUCUGAACUUGCAGUUCUGCUCUGUGCAUCGUGCAUGCAAAAGCGGAGCUCUCAGCAAAAUCUCUUUAUUAUUCAUCAUAAAGAAUCACAGCUGUGAAAAGCGAGCUAAGGAAGGAGAGUGGGACCAGGCAGGCGUUCUGCCUUGGCCCGGUGUAAAUCAGGAGUAACUCUACUGCAAGUCUGCUGAAUUAUGUCGCUGUCACUUGGACAUCAGACCAGAAUCAAGCCCUUUACCUGUAAUAGAUGAGUGAAAUAUCUUACAACUGUGUGUCCAGGAGCCUGCUAAGCUUCUUGCAGAGUUGCUGUCAGUAUGCCCAGGGCAGAAGCAUAUUUUUUUUCUUACUGUUGUACAUAAGGGCUCUGCUGCAGCCGACAACAUGAAAUGUGUUAGUUCGGUUUGUUCAAAAUGGAGUGUGUUUGUUAAGUGUUGCCUCUUUGAUGUUGCGCUGCCAUCUCCAUCUUUGUCAUCAUUGCCCAUCUUUUUCAAUCUAAUGAACUCAAACCAUCAGUGCAACUUAAGUUCGGCUGUCUGUUCUUGCAUAGUUAAUAUUAAAAAUGUACUAACAGUGUGGCUGCGAAAUCAAAUUAUGCACAUAAAUAUGCUGGCAUAGCAGAGGAGGCGGCAGAAGCUGAAGUUAGCAACAUUGAUGCCAGUUCACAUUUGCAAAUCAACCGUCAAUCUGUCAUUAAACAUGUUAUCAAAUGAUGAUAAGUGUAUGCUUCUUGCUUGCAUUGGCGCGCUUAUUCCCGAUGUUGAUGUGCAUUAAUGGGAUAAUGUGCAUUAACAUAGUCUUGCUUGGAUGAACACAAAACAUUUUUUAUCCGUCUCAGUUUGUUUCCCCCUGUGGCCCCCAAGUAAGUGUUUUGUGUUAUCAAAUUGCCAAAAAAUGGGAAAACACAUUACUUUUAAUUAGCAAAAAUUUUGAGUCAUUAUUUUUUUCUAAUUUUUAUCCAGAGUAUCUCCUGUGUAUUGUCAGUCGAGGUUGGGGGGUACACAAAAAAACCACAUUCCACUGCCUUCUUUAAGUAAAACGAUUAAUGUCAGAAACUCAGAGACUGACAAUUAUGUGCUGUCUUAAUGCACUGGCCUUUCAUCUGCAGCCCUUGCUUUUGACACGAGUGAUGGUUUCAGUUCAGCGAUAUGAACGGCAGGAAAGGGAACGAUCUCAGGCUUUCCCAGCCCAUUGUGCGGUGCCGCGCUCAGGCAUGGCAAGCAGUGCUUGAGCUGCCUUCAUUUAACAGUUUUGCAUACGAGCUGGUAAGGGCUGUACCUAGAGACUGAACAAAAAGCUGAAGAUCUCGGCCGUUCCGGGAGGGAAAUGAGUUUCUCAAAGAACUUCCCAUGUUUGCACAACUCCUUUAUCCCCUCCUGCCUAGUCAGGGCUCCACUCACGCUACACGCUGCCAGUAAACUUCCAUGGCAAUAAAAUAAAAUAAUCCUCAUUGGAAAGAAUGAGAAAUGACUGAGACGUGAAGCCUAUAAAAAGAGGCUGGUUAUCAGACUAUUGCCUGCCCAUCUCACAGGCUCUGCCCCAGCUUGCCCAGGGCUGACGGCUCAGCUCAUCGGCUGCCCAGGGAAUGGUUGCAACAAAAAGAAAUACUGGUAUUACGUUUAUUGCUUCUAUUUAGAAUUGAGUUGUUUACCCAGGCUUUUGGAAAAAGUUGAGGUGGAACUUCACUGAAGCAGGAAAAGCAUCUUUCACACUCCAUGGGACUCUAAGGUUUCCAAACCGUUUCUCAAAAGUAAAGAAUUAAGGUUCUUCCCACCCCCUGGAGAACAGCCAUUCCUUUAAACCUUUUCAUAUUUGUGCAACAGGGGCAAAAUUGUGAAUGACCUACCCGGGUUCUUACAGUAAAACAUUAAUAGUAAUGAAAAGCAAUAUGGAUAAUAUCUGGUCAUGUUCAAAACACUGGGAAUUCUUCCAGGAGUUUUACUAGGACUUUAUUAGUAGUUAUCAAAUCAAGCUCAAGAGUUGCCUUAAAGGAAAGUCAGUCACUUAAAGUGUUCUAUUUUUAGUUUAUGAGCUGGAAUAUAAAACUUCUUCUAAAACUUUUAUGAAAAACAUCAUAUUAUUUAUGUGUUUCUAAAAUAGCAACUUUUUCUUAUAUAAUAAAAAUGUUUAUAAAUUACUCUUAGUCUCUGCAUAUGACUACAUUUAACCUCCAAACAUGGUUUAAGAUUUAUCUUGAAUGAAAAAAAAUAUAUAACUAGUAGAAUAGUGAACUUCUACAAACUAUGGACUUCUUGGUAAAUGUGUCAAACUUUUGAUCACUCUUUCUUCACAAUAUAAUAAUGCCAUUAACUUUUUCAGGUCUCUGAUUUCUAUUAUCUGGAUGAUUUAAAGGAAAAAUAAAAGGGAAUAAUUAUUGAUUAUUUUUAAAUUGCCCUGAUUUUUUAGAAGUCAUCCAUUGCAUUUCCUAUUAUUUCUAAAUCGUGGAUACAUCAGCACAAGUUUCAUAAUCAUGAAACUCUAAUAGCGGUAAUUGUAUUCCUGUUAUGCCUAGCUUCAGCAAGUCCUCAUGUUUUCUACUUCUAAAACAAAGAGCUUGUCUUCUAAUACAAAGAGCUUGAAUGUUGAGUAUCUUUUCUGUUACACGCCCAUUACUGGCAGAAUUUAUCCAGCAACAUUUUCUUUUACAGUUCUGUAGCUUUACGUUGCUUCUGCUCCAUGAGCUACCUUGAAAUUAACUUGUCAGAUGUUCAUCCCACUACUUAGGGAAGAAUCCUGAUCAGAUGAGUGGACCAAUUUGUCAUGACUUGUGGGAGAGAUGCUGGCAAGCAGGUGGCACUAAGGCGGCUGGAUAUGAGGGAUGCUGUACAGCAGCUCCUGCUGGCUCCUGCAAGGGGCUCUUUGUAUCAGAGACGGCAUUUGGAAAACCAGAGUGAGAAAGCUCUUCAUCACCAGGGCCCGGUUCUCUCUCCUCUGGGGCACUUGGCAAACAGCAGAACAAGGUGCAAAGCUGUAGAAAACAGCAUAACAAAAAUGAUCUCCCACCAGAACUCUCGGCUGUAUCACACUACUAGCUGGGAGAAGUCUUGGUCUGGAUUUUAUCCUUGUUAUAAUAUUUCAGCCAGUCUCUACAUUGAACAGAUGUAUUAAUCAGGUGUGUUAAUUUACCAACUUUUGUUAAGCAGUUUGAAAGAGUGAGAUGCUGUGUUACUCCUUGGUAUUCAUAUAUCAAAGCAAAUGUUGAACAAGGGAUUAGCACUUAUAGACUGGCACUGUUCUUCCUCUCUGUCCUCCCAGUCUUUAUUCUUUAUACUCUGUCUUGUUCUAUUAUCUUAGGCCUGACUUUGGAGUGUUUUCAGUUUUUGAAAAUGGCAAGUAAUUAGUCAAUAUGUUUUCACCAUAUGUAUCAAGCUCAGUAAAGAGGCAACCAUUGGCCUUUGUCAUGGCACAGUAAGCGUUCGUUUUCUCAGUACUUCAAGUUACGCUGAGCGUGUGCUGAACGCCAAAGAAUUUAAUGAGGAAUUUUACAAUGAAACAUUUGACAUAAUAAUUCACAGUUCAGCGCAGUUCACAAAUUCGGGGUGAGUCCCCUUUGAAGAUUGCCUUGUUGGUGCUGUUCACACCAGAGAUCUUGCACGAGCUGCUUCUCCCCUGCCUGGUGCCCUGCAUGAGCAAAGAGGCCGCGCAAAGGGUGGAUAAAUUGUCGUGACUUGAAAUGGUCCCGUUUUACAUCUUCUUGGCACAGAUGCCAUGUACAACAAGGGAGAAUUCUUGAAACCCCUUUUCCCUUCCAGACUGGCUUUUUCCUUACCCCAAGCUAGCUAAUGCAUACUUUCCAGAUAGAAAUUUUUGCUCUAAGGCUUCCACUGUUGCUGACUGUUAACAAUCUUAAAAAAAGGUCAGAAUCUGACCAUAACACUGCUGAUAUGAAGUGGCACUUGCCCAAAUUUUGCCAUCUCCUGAGCAAAAAUACAUCCAGUGUUUUCUAGGGCAAGAUGGGAUAGACAGCAGCCUUGCCUGGGCCAUUUUCUGCUCUCAGGGAUAUUGUAUUUCAGUUAUCUGUGGAACAGGUUUCUGCAUUCCCUGCUGGGUUUCUUCAGAUUCGCAGAUAAAAUGUUUGAGCUCACACUCAGUUCAGCGAGUUACGGGUAUUUUGUUUAACGUUUUGGGGUACAUACAACAAACAACGAUGAGUAAGAAUGAUGACAUAUUGUUUUACUGCAGUCAUGAUUUAAAUUUAUAUGGCAUUGCUAUUGAAGUCAAUAGGACUUUUUCCCGAGUAUGCUUUGCAGGGUAUGGUAUCAUUAAAAUAUGACAGUUAAUAGUCUUGUUUAUGUUAUUAUAUUUAAUGAAUAAAUAUAUCAGUCUGUACAUCAAACUCAGUUUUGUUUAUACUCUGUAAUUGUAGUCUUAUCUCCCCUAAAAGCAUGUUAUAUCUUUUAAUUUUAUAAUUAUCCACUUUAUUCAUGUGUGACACUACAGAACUGCAGCUUAUAUCCUAUGAGACAUCCAAAUACAAACAGAUGGAAGACAGGCAACCUCUAGGAAAUUCAGAUCUGGAUCUGUAACACUCCACAAUUUCAGAUCCAAGGUCUUGGUUUGGGCUGUUGUACAAAGGAGCAAGAGUUGCAGAAUGUGAAUCUAAUUUAUACAGCACCUCUGGAUGUGAACCGUCAGUGGGGAUUUUAUACCAUCCUUCAACACCUAAAUGUUGUUCUCUGUCUCUUGAAAGAGACCUGAGCUCUAAAGGCAAAGAGGGAGCACUUCUCCCAUUGCCCUUUCCAAAGAUUUUCAAAAAAGGAAUUCAAGAUUUAUUGGGCUGGGGAGGGGGAACAGAAAUAUAAGCAUAACUUUGUAGCCUGGUGGUUAUAGCACUUGGCUGGAAAGGGUAAAUGCCAGUCCAUUUUGAAAACCUCCCUCACCUAAUUUGUAUUUGAACACAAUUUCUAGUAAGUGCCCUCACAAAUGUCACCUCUAAGGCAAAAAAAAAACCAAGAAAGGCAAUAAGAAAAGUUAUCUAAGGAAGGGAAAAUCUGCUUAGGAGGCUGACACAGCCAAAGUGAAUACUUUUCUCAGUUAUCACAUGAAGAAGAAAAUAUCAUAAUAUUGAAACCAGUUUUGAAAACUUUCCAUGAAAAUAGGGGAAAGGGAAAAAAAAAAAACAUGAAACACUAGUUGAAUACAGAGAGAGGCCGAAGAGAGUUCGGUUACCAUAGAGAUUAUUACUGGCAAUUGGUACUCAACAGCAGAUUGGGAUCUGUUACAAUAUUUUUAUUAAUCUUUUCUCUUAAUUGGUUAUUUAUGUAUUUUGGAUCCAUCUCUGUUCUGGGUCCAGAUUUUACUCUUUACCUGUCAUUCUUCUUGACAUGAAGCAGUAAUGACUGUGCCAGAUAUCAGGCAGUUCCUCAAUGUGUAAACAUUAACAGGGGCCACGAGUAUCUAAAAUACCACAAGGACAAGUCACUGGCUGGGGCUGGCAAAGGAGGGGGAGAAGCAUCACAAACACACUCAGUCUGGGAGGCUUCAGCACAAGCUCUCGUCCGCGCAAACCCUGUGACGAUGUUUUGUAGGUACAACAGAGAGGAUGCAAAAUGCCUUUUCCCCUUUCAGUUUUCCCUCAUGCAUAUACAAACCUGGUCAUUUAACACAUGCACCUUCCAGUGCAUGAACUGGUAAUUUAGGAAAUACCCUGUUGUAAAGCCUUUCCCUAUCCUCCCCUUCCUAAGGAUUCAUCUUGUUUGUGUGUGCUGCAGCCACUGAAAACACCCAGCCUUUUUCAAGCCACUUAGGGCAUUAUGCUUAAAGUCCAGUGUCAAGAGACUUUUCAAAACAAUCAGCUUCUAAAAAUUCUAGUCUUAAUUUCAGAGUGCCCAGUCUUUGUUCGUACCCAGUGUUAAAUACAUUUUAAAAUGCAUUUUUUCCUGCCACACCUUUUGCCUUUAGGGAGGUGUUUUGUUUUUUCCAGGAUGCCUGAGAUCAGGCAGAACCAGCUGGAUUUUCAUCCCCUUUUCUCCCCCUCCUCCCCAGCCUGUUGCUCCCUGUCUGCAUGUCCUGCCUGCGGGGUGCACAGGGAGGCACUGGCUGGGCAAUGGGGCUGCAGGGAAUGCUCCCAACUGCACAGUGUGAACAAAGUAUAUAUAUGUAUAUUAAAAAAAAAGAGAAAGGGAGAAGCAUGUUUUUUUCGCCUCUAAUCUCCUUUAGUUAUCAUGAUCUCAAGGGUUAUCUGUGAUGAUAGUAGGCACUGCAUUUCAGACGGAAAUGUGAUUUUCCAAGCUGACAGUGUCACUUUAAGUAAACAAAGUUAAUUCUGCUUCCUGCUAUGCAAGGCCUAAUCUCAUUACCCAAACCACAAGCAGCAUAACAGAGAAUAGUCCCAUCUGUCAAAAGAACUUAAAAUAAAGGUGGAUAUUGUUUUUAUGUUUCAUCCCUCUCCUUCCACCCAAAUCCCUCAAUGGAAAUUAAUUAUUGCAUCAGAUCCAUUUAAACCUGUUCAGAUCCCCCGGCCUGUGCCAGUGGUUCCUUUUUCAUUUGACGUGUCUACAGAAUAAUAAUGUUUAUGCUGCAUCUUAGAGUUAAUGCUCAGUUUUGAUGAAUUGUAGCUAAAAGCUGGGAGCCAGAUGGCUGACCCAUUCGUCUUGCUGCGUUCUACUCUAAGGAGACAGAAAGCAGGUGACAUCAGGUCAGCUUCAGGCUCCCCCAGAGGUGAGCUGGAUUAUGCUCAGUCCCUUUCCCACCUCAAAUAAGGAGAGGGAACCCCUGAGCUCAAGACAGCCCAACAGGGAGCGAGAUUCAGCACAGUGUAAGUCCGUUAGGAUUUACACAUGAAAGAGAAUCAAGGAAUUGGUGCUGCAGGCUCCAGUGAGAGCUAUGCCAGCGCAGGGAGCGGAACCCAACCUGCCCAGGUCUGGCUUGAAGCAGAAGAAAAUCCAAACAUGCUAUCAAGCAGUUCUUAGCUCACUUCAAACCAGCAGCCACCAAUCAUAAAAAGAUCAUUCAUAAAACUCUCUAACAACAGUGGUUUUCAUCCCCUCUUCAUUUAAAAUGACCUUUAUAUGAUUAUAAGAUCUGCCUUGCUAAGCCUUAAUUGCUUAAUUAGAGAAGCAAGUUCUCUAUUAGACAAACAUUUUUUUCAGACUGUGUUUUUUUUCUUGCAAGUAUGCAGUUUUCUUGCAUUUUAAGCUCAUCAGCAGUAUUUAUAAAGCUUUAAAAAGACACUUUCAAGUGGUUAUAGUUUGUUAGUUUGUUUAUUUAUUUGCCAUUUGAAGGUUUUGUUUCCCACUCCCUUCCUGAGAGACACUUCCAGCAGGAAUCUCUCCCCUUCGGAAUUUCGCUGCCUUUUGCUACCACACCUGCACAGCAUUUUGCAAAAAAAUGCAGGCUUUCACAGCUGUUAUGUGUUCUGGGUGUGAUUGGGAAUUUAUUUAUCAUGGGCAAGUUCUCAGAGCUGAGCAAAAUUAGCCUGGUUUUGUAGUGCUGUUUUAAAGAUCUAGCCAAUCAAUCUAUGACUGUAGGGUUGUUUCUGACUGUGUGAUUGUUGACAGUUUUAAAGAAGUCAAUUGACUCACUUGCUCUGGAACACUAUUUAAGUUUUGCCUUGUGUUAGAUUUUUGUGUGUGUGUGUGGCAUUGUUAUACUAAUGCAGUAUAUUGAAAGCAGAAGGUUCCAGAGGUAAUUAGUGCUGAUUACAGUGACAAGCUGCAUUUCUAAAGUAAGUUUUGGGGCUGGAGUGGCUACAUUAAUGAAAAAGCCUCUGCCAUAGCAAAAGCAGCAUUACUGGUGCUGCAAGCAGCCUUAAAAUAGAAACUAGAAGUAUUAUAACACUUGAGAUACCCCAGCCCUGAGAAGCAGCCACAGAUAUUUGUUUCCCCAGAAAGAAGUAUCUCCUUGCUGUGCUCUUUAUAAAAGAAUACUUUGCUGAAAAUAGAGAACAUCACCAUAAAAAGUAAAAAAGUGAUAAGAGAUUAAGUUGGGAAAAAUGGACCAGAAGUGGCUUCACGUGAAAAUGGCAAUUAAAUUACUUGUACCACUUAUGGUGGUAAAGUGAGAAAGUUUGGACUGUGUUCAUAAAAGGACCUUGGACUUGGUUUUGGUGUUUUGGAUUACAGAAGGAAUUUCAAAGGUAACUUGGCUGCCUUUUCCCUUUUCGUUACUGCUUCAAUAACAGAACACCUUGACCCUCUGUUUGCGAUUGUGUCCCUGUUACUCUUAGCACAGCACAAGCAAUGGGAAACGCUCCUUUCCACUCCAAGCAGCGAGCCGUGCAGCCAGGAGGAGGGGAGCACAGGUAUCCUCACCCAGGGGAUGCACGAGGGAAAGAAAAGUUACUGACCACCCUGAGUAGCACAAACUGAUGAGUAAAAAUGGUUCUCAUACUUAUUUGGUGAAACAGAAUAUGUAGGAGCUGCAAUAAGCAGUGUCCUUCUCUGACACUAAAGAGCAUGACUUGUAUUGAGGACUUGGAAAGUAUUUGAGAACUUUGAUUACGUUCAUUUCAACCUGGGUGUUUUUCAGGAUCUCAGCCGUUCUGCCCAGACUAUUCAUCUCUUUGCUGAUAAAAAUUCAGAGCAUGGCAGGAGCUAAUUGCAAAAGGUGAUAUAGCUUCUCUUUGGAUAGUUGUGUGUGGUAUUUUGGGCAGGCUUUCUCGGCUGAAGCUCCAAGCCAACAAAAAGCCAGGUGGCUGCGUUGGCAUGGUGCUGAGCGCUGCGUAAUCCAUCUGAUGGAAAGCAGGGUUUAUUAGCUUGGCACUGCGCUCCCUGAAUUUCAAGGAUUUUGGAUAAGUUCUGGCUGACAUCCCAUUGGGUCAGACUUACCCCUUGCUAUAUGUGCUUAAGGUAAUGGGAGUAUGUGAUCCUCCUCUUACUGAUUUGCAAGAUUCAUGUGACCUGCAUAGCUUGCAAUGUUACUUUUUGUCUUUAAAUUCCAAAAGCCUGUGUCAUUAAGAAGUCAAAGAGUACAUGUUGAGGUGUGGCAGGAGGUUUGUGUGUGUGGCCAGAAAAAGUACUUGCAAGUGGCAAAAAUUGAUAUUUUCCUAGCUAAAGCCAAAAAACACUUAGAAAUGAUCUAUGUCUAAUAUACUUAUUGUAGCCUGAGGUCAGAGAGGGAUGUGACUUUCAGAAAAAAAAAAAAAAAUGAUAAAACUUGCAGUUUUGAAAAUACGUAUUUUACUUUAGGGCAUUUUCAAAGGCUUUUUUUAUUGUGUCUGCGAUUUCACUUAUACUUUUCACUUCCCAUAUAUUAUUCAUGAUGUCUGUUUUAAUAAGCUUUGGGUCAAGACUUUGUUCUCUGUUAAUAGUUCGUUGCAAAUAACAUUGCUUGGUGUUGGAGCCUCUCUGAAAUGACACUCUGAUUAUUGAGGUACAGUCCAAGUAACAGGCAGAAUAAAGUCUUUUGGUGAAGUCCAGAUUUCCUCUUCCAUUUCACAGUUUCUCUUUCUUUACCUGAUUCUACUCAAAGCCUCAGUAACUGUUAGAUCAUGUAGCUGCGCCGUCACAGCUCCUUGUGAGGAAGGUUCAGAAGUAAGAUAAAAGAGUUGCAAAGCAGAGCUAAAGGAGCCAAAAUAUCUGGAUUCAGUUUUUGCCCACGCGAUUAAGGCAAAUAAAUAUAAUCGGGGAGAGGUGCAUCUGCAAACACAUACAAAGGCACCCACCAUGUGUGGGAUGGAGAAGAAAUUGGUGUUUGCAUCACCAGAAGAGAGAACCAUCUGCAACAGGUCUCCAUAAAAGCCUGUUUUUUAUUGAAUAGCCAUAGAAAAUCAGGGCCCUGCAUAACCUUCAACAUAUGGCUAGGGUCUAUCAAGUGUAUUGAAAAUGCUCAUUUCCUUAAAAUUAAGCACAUUCAACAAAAUUCACUUUGAAUCCUUAACUUCCUUCUGCAAUUUAAUCUUAAAAAUCACUUUUUUUGCCCCUAAAUGCAGGGGAGUUCUGGCAGGGAGCAGAACAUGGUUCAGCAUGUGCCUGGGUGUGAUGUGCUUGCAUGAGUCGGGCAGUUAAAACCUGCUGCACACAAUAUGCUUUGUUAAUGCAGUGUUACUGGCUUUAUUCUCUCCUUUUCUCUGUGUCUUUAGACCCUGAAACACAUGUAAAAGUUCAUAUUCCAUUCAGGCCACCUUUGUAAUAAAUAAAUUUCUGAUAAAAGUCUGACCAAACUGUGUUACAAAGAAACUUGGUCUGUGCAGCAUGUGAGCAUUAUCAAGUUACAUUGUUAUGAUCAACAACCAUAUUGGCAUUUAAACAAAAGAGGAAACGUUUUUUCCAUGUCAUAAGGAAUGUUUCUGGGGCUGUAGCAUCCUAUUAAAGCAAAAUAGGGCUGGUGACAAAGGUCUGCCUGAUUGGAUCUGUGAUCUGCCAGUUUCUAAUGAAUGGAAAGAGAAAGGCACGAGCAGCAGAGUCGAAAAUGAAGGAGAAUUUCUCCUUGUCUUGCUGCUUGUAUGAGGCUGUUCUCGGUAGCUUCAGUGGUGGAAUUCAUUACUGGGGAUAAGAACAGAGAUUAGGUUAAAAGAGCUUUUCAGUGACAAUACCUAAUGCACGAUGGAGUGCUUUCCCUCACUCCUUUCAGGUUUGAAGUUUUCUGACCAUACAUAGUGAUAUAUUACUGUAAUAGUUUGUAUUACAGUAGUGGCCAAAGGUAACAGAAGCAUCCAUUUUGCUGGAUACUUUACAUAUACACAUUAAAAAAUAAUCUCUGCACAAGGUGUCCAUAUGAUUUUAUUUCUCUCUAGUGUAUCUUUUUCUUUUUUAAAGGACUAUCUGGUUUAUGGUUGCAGCUUUGAAAACUGUUACCUCGUUGAGCGGUUUAGACUAAGCACGAGUCAAAGACAGCCUCUUUUUUUAUAACUCAAUCUUCCAAAGUCUGCUAUAAAUGUAAAUAGUGGAGAGAUGCCCUGAUGUUAAGAUGCUGAUACUCGCAGGGUAUAGAAAGUGCCAGUGUAAUAUGUGUGAAAUAGCUUUAUCACAGGCCAUUUUGUAAGCUCUCUUCAGGAGAGAAAGUUUCCCCAAAUAAAAAUGUGUAAACUGUAUGCAAAAUUGAGACACUUAAAAAAAAAUGAAAAGAGCUAAACUAAUUACAUUUGCAGUUACUGUACUAUUGGUUAGACUUCCCUUAGUUGAACAAAGGAACUGAAGUGCUUGUCUGUUGAUUCUGCAUUCUGCAAACCCAACCCAGGUAAGCCCCUGUCAGGCCUUUCUUGGGCUCUGUCUGCUGGCCUUUUUGGCAAGUACUAAACUUAGUUUUAAGCUCCAAUUAAAGAUAUGCAGAGGACUAGGGCCUGAUCCUUUUCUCAUGUCAUUUUCCCGCAAAGGAGCUUCUCUGUACUCAGACAAUUCACUCCUGACUAUAAGUGAGAGCAGAAUUGGGACAUAUGGCACCAUAUCAAAAGAUCUAUUAGAUCUCUCAAUAAAACAAACACAGCUUUUGAAGUUGUUUAGCUGUUUCUAGAGCAAAGCAAGAACUUCAGAGAGAGCACUUUGACUAUUGGGUGAAAAGGAAUCCUUUUUUCACUCUUCUCCCUGCCCUUCCACCCUCUUUCCCUUCCUCUUUUCCCUGUUUGACUUUUCUUCUGCUAAAAUUUUGCCAAAGGAACCUUUAAAGUCAGGUCUGCAGUAAAACCUCUUGCCAGCAUAGUAAUUUUUGUUAGGGGUGUCUUUUUUUUUUAAUAGCACUUCUAUUGGCACAGCCUUCAGCUUAGGUUCAGCUGUACUCAAAAGUAGUGAUUUUGCUGAUGCAGCUUAUUUCAUUGAGGGAACUAGUAAAAACUUAACUGCUAAAAACACUCAAUUGGCAGGACAAGCUGCAUCUGUAUGAGUCCGGUUUGCUGGUGUGGAUGUAAAAUGUAGGGCUGGCCAACAAUGUAACCCUCAAAAGUAGUCCUGUUGAAAUGUGUUUGCUUUGAGCCUAUUUGGCCUCCAUAUGCUGGAGCAAGGAUGGUUGUAGCACACUAAAUUCACAAGACUAAAACAAGCUUUAUGGUGAUUAAAUUCAACUCCCUAAACAUAACUUAGGUGACUCCCCAUCAUGACUUAUGUAACUUAAUCUCGUCUGGUAAAAAGCAUAGCUGUGCUAAAUGGAAAAGCCAUGGCUAUGACUGGCUCGUGGCCGCUCUUUUUGAUGAUAUUAUCAUGAAGAUAUUAUUCUAGUAUGCCUCUGUUUCCCCAUAUGUGAAACAAAUAUCCUGCUAUCAAUCUCAGUACUGUAGAGGUUCAGGAGCUUGACUGCAAACAUUUUGACAUUUUAGUAUAUAAGGGGUAUGAACAGCGUUGUUCACACCAGUUUAAGAGGGCUUGCUGGCCAGUGUGUAUUUGUGAAUCUGCAGCACCGCUUCCUGGUUUUGCUGGAGAAACUCCAGCCAGCAAACCCAGACAAUGUUGUUUAGCUUCUGCUGUCAUCAGAACUAUUUCUUGAGAGCUGGAAAGAUGUACUCCUUCCUUACCCUGCUUGCUGUAGCCCAAAGGAUCAAAGAUAAGGAUUAUAAUGGUUAUGUUCAAGCAGAGGAGUUGUUGAUUGGGAUUUAUCCUUUUAAAUAUGUGUAAGGCAUAGAAAGCUUUGCAGUCAGAAAUAUUGACUUCAUUGAUCCACGCCAAGAGCAGAAGAAACCCAUGCGAGCUGAGGUGGAAAGGCUGUGUGAGAUGCUUAUAAUAAAGAUGUUAUCUGAUAAAUAAGAUAUUGCUUUAUUCCUGACCAAGGAAAAUUAGAAAUCCAGAUUUUAAGUACACCAGUCAAAUCAUGCCAAGUUAACUGUGGCAGCAUUAGUCUUCCGUGAUCAGUAGUCGGUAUUAGGACCUUGCUUUCAUGUUUCUGGUUAAAUGAGGUGGCUACACAGGUCCUGGUUCUUCAUUGUUUAUGAGUUUUACAAGGAGAACCUCUGAAUGAAUCAGCUUCAGGAGCAUAAUGAACUACAAAUGCAAAGAGCAUCACCUUCAUCACUCAGAAUAAAGUGAAUGCAGUGUAGGUCAUGCUGUUGCCUUUGGAAGCAGCUAAAAUCUUCUGUCUGAUCAGCUGAGAUUGCAGAGGCUGACAAGGGAGGCAAGUGGGGGUAAAGGUGUCCAGCGUAAGUGGAGAGUGAACUGGCACAAGUGGGGCUGUCCUGUACAAUGGGCUGGAGAGUCUUGAUGUCAGGGUUCACAUGGAUGGACAAACAAAUGAGAAACCCUGAAGGACCAGCAGAGUUGCUGCUGCAGGCACAGCAGCCAGCUGUGAGCAUUCCUGACAGGGACGCCGACAUGUGGAGGGCAGGGAUGUGAUUUGGGGAGGGGAUGUUAUAUUACUAGAUCUGGGUCUUUUGCCCCAUCCGGAGCAAUAUCAGCUUAUCAGCCAGCAAAUACAAAGUAGAGGAAGGUGGGAACUAUCUAAAAAGCAUGUUUCCUGGUAUUGUAGAUACUAUCACAGACUCAGAGUCAGUUUACAACCACUCUGGCCAAUAUCCAUUUUCUCCUUCAUCGGCAACAAAGCUGUUCUGUCCAGCAGUGUAGGAAAAAGCCCAUCCCGUAUCUGCAAAUGGUCCUCUCCUUUAAAAACACAAACUCCUGUGUUUUCCGCAGUACAUCCUCAGUCAUCCCCCUGCCUUAAACUUUUGAACCCUGUUAGCAAAUGCACCGUGGGCAGAGCAAGGGGGGAGCCCUUACCCCCACGGAAAAAACCUGAUCUGAAGAAUUCUCAAGGGGACAAUUGAGCACUAUCAAACACAACUGCAGUAAUACUUUACUGUCUGCUGCAGAUAUUGAGCCCUCAUUGCAGUAAUUGUCACGGUGACAGAGCUGGGAACACUUGCUGUAAUUAGGACAGUUGUUUUGUCAUGUGUAACGAUCUGAAGAGAAGCACGGAAAAGAGGCGAAUGAGCACUAAUCUGCUAUAGCACAGUGAAGGAGAACCAUGCACUCACACACAAAAUAUGGCACGGCUGCUAAUAUAUUGUAAAUUUAGAUGAGCAGGCAUUUUGAGAAGGUGAAGAAAUAAAUGUUAAAACAAUACAUCUAUUCAGGGGAAUUUAUGCUCUCUCGGGUGUCUCACUGUAUCUAGAACAGCAAGUGCAGCUGUUUUUCUGUAGAGAUUUUUUUGAAGGUGAUCCUGGUGAUAUGUAACAAAAAUCCUCAACUGAAACCAUGUGUGCUUGUGUAUAUAGAUAUAUAUGCAUGCGUAGAUGUGUGUUUAUAGAUAUAUAUGUGAUUUUUCUAUAAGUGGCAUGUAUUUUCUUCCAGCUUGCUGUUCCAGCAGUUUGAGAACAUAGAGCCCCAAAUUAAGAAAGCCGGACACUCCAGUGUGUUACACAUUUAAAGCUAUCGUCCAAACUAUUUUAAUGUCUCUUAAGUUACCAUUUCAGCCUCCUACUUUUUUUCUGUUUCUUGCAUGCAGACAAGCAUUAAAAAUAAGCACUAUCUUUUUCAUUGUGCUCCAAAAUACCUCCUAUUCUGAUUCAGUGAGCCUGUAAUGGCUGUUCUGGUUGAGUUUUAUCUGAUGACAAACGCUACUUAUGUAUCAAAAACUCCUGGGAAACAAGGUUACAAUUUCGGAAUUAUAAGACCCAGAGCUAUAGGGUAUCAAAUACCUGUUGGGUAUUAAGGAGGUAAGCGUUAAGCAUACAAAAUAAGACUGUACUAUGGAUUUCUACAAAAUUAAGUUCAUUUUUUUUUUGCUUUCCACAAAAAUGUUGACAUUUUAUUUCACUUUUUUAGUGUUAAACGUUCAUAUCUUCAGUUAUUUUUUUUUAGCUUUCCAAUUCUCACUUGUCAAUGAAAUCUUUCCUUCGCUGCUGAAGCCAAUUGGUUUUACCAUCUACUUGAGUAAGACCAAGAUUUCACUUUUAGUCUUUUGCUACAUGAAAUCAUUCUUGUAAAGAUCACAAAUGUCCCUCAGAGAUUAUCAACCUGUAACCUGUAUUUUAAAAAGGUUACAGGGAUAACUCAGGGAACAACAGACCACUUAGUCUGAUCCUGAUUCCAAGUAAAACAUUACGAUUAUCCCAGAACUCUAUUAGCAAAGAAUUAGAGGGUAGAAUACAAUUAAUGACAGGAUUAUAAAUCUUGUCAAACAAACAUACUGUCUUUAGACAGGAUUACACAACUACUUGAGAAAGGUAACUGGGCGGAUGUAGGAUACCUGGAUUUCUCAAGGGCAUUUGCCUGAUGUUUUGCCUCGUUAGGUUUUCAAACAUGUGUUAGAUGUUUUAAAUUCUGGCGCACCAGUGGGACUCUGUGUAUUGUAAUGGGAGCUACUGAUGAAAUGCUUCCUCUUUCUAGAUUGUAUUGGCGGUAUAAUAUUUGUACCAAUGAUCCAAGCAAUGAUGUGAAAUACAUUUGGUGAAGGCUGCAAGGUGACACGGGACCUGAUGGAGCAGUGAAUAAUGAGAAAAAGUUGCUACGUAGGAGCAAAAUUAAUCUGCAGGUUAAAGGGUUUCAGUCCAACAGAAUUCAUUUUAAUACAGUUGGAUAUAAAGAAAACCCUACAGGAACAAAGAAUAUAGAUUAUAGCUAUGGGUUAUAUCUGUGUAUGUCUUGGAGUAGAUAUAUAGAUAGGCAGUGAUAUACAGGUAGACACUAUGAACUAAGUUCACAGUGCAGUGCUAUGGAGAAAAAAACUGUUCUCUCUAAAUGAAACCAAUAAUAAAUUAGUUAAACAAACAAAGAAAGCAAAUUAAACUAAAAAAAGCAAAUAAAAGGAGAAGAUUUUAUUCUUAUGUGCAUCUCUAAGUGGGUCACAGUGUGAAAUGUCCGUGUUUCAAGACUAUGUGGAAGUAUUCUGAAGAAAAGUUAGUGGAGGCCAGCAGGAAUGACCUGGAGGCUGGAAAUCCAGCCUUGUGCUGUGAAGUUUAAAGAACCUGACAUAUUCAGCUUCUCAGAAAUCCUGAGAGAUGCUUUGGCUGCUGUGUGUAGGCAUCCCUGUGUGAGAGCCAGCUUUUCAGUCUGGCUGAGAAAGCAAAUUUAGCUGGAUAUUUAUGUUGACCAAAUUUAGCAGUAAAAUAAUAACAUUAUAUUAAAAUAAGACACAGUUCCUAGUUGUGAAGGUGAUGGAAGCUCACAACAGUUUUUCAAGUGUUCUCCUGAGUGCUUUCUUCUCUUCAAAACAGGAUUAACUGCCCUUUUGAAGCAUAUAUAUAAAAUCAAGCUAGAUUAUAGGGAAAUUUUAUUGCAAAGACACAAUUUAGAACUGGUAUAUUGUGUGUAUUUACAUAUGUGUGCAUGUCUGAAGGGGCCUUUGCGGGUUUAUGUGUGGUAAAACAACACAGCUCACUUACAUGUAGAUUAAUUAGUAUGUUUGUGUCAUAUAAGGGUAUUAAUACAAGAGAUUAAGUGGCUUGUUCAACUAGACAACCAAAUAAUCCUGCACGUUUUCAAUCUGUAUAAGGCCCCUUUCUUAGCUUUAAACUAGCUCAGUAAGUGAAUACAUUUGUAUUUGCUCUCUUGUCAGGCAGUAAGGUAUUUUUCCUACUGUGUGUUGAUUAUUUGUUUCAUUAAUUUGAAAAUAGUUUAAAUUUCUCUGAUCAUUUUUAACAAUAAAAAUGCCUUCAGUAGAUUUUCCAGUGCAAACCUUUUAUUUCUCAGUUUUUCUCGACGUUAGACUCCUUAGAUUUGAAUGUUUGGGGCUUUUUGGUGAAAAUUAAAAACAAAACCAAACCAAACUUCUAGAGAAAGCAGAUACCUUUCUACUGAAAAUUUGCCUCAGUUAAAAAUCUAAUUUCCACUGCAAAAGGGGAAAAAGAAGUUUGAACAAGAAACAGAAAAUCAGACAGCUCUAGUGUCCUGCAUCAGUAUCUGAACCUUGGCAGCACUUCUGUAAGAGAAGGGAUUGACCAAACAAUUCAUUAACAGGAAUGUUCUCCUCACGGAGGGGAUUCAAGAGCUGCAUGAGAAACUUUAAAGCCUCCUUUGUGUAUCCAAACCGAAACACGGCUCAAAGAAAUGAGUGUCUGUGGCGGUUCAGGGCGCCGUGAACUCUGGGCUGUUUGUGGAGCGGCUUUGACAGAAGUUGCUCUUGAUUUCGAAGUCCAUCCCGUCCACCCGUGGCUGGGAGGCUGGCAAGGGAGAAAAGGGUGCGGGGAGUUUGCCUGGCAACAAAAGCACAGCAAUUUGCUCUGGUGUUGCUGUGAGGAGAAGAUGCUUUUGUGAGCAGAGACAUGUGAUAAGUGUAGCAUGAAAGCACCGCGAAGUAAUUGUUCUGAACCCGGCUCUGGGCUGCUCUGACUCGCAGUGGUCAAGGUCUGAAACAAGGAGAUCCGUGCCAAGUCUCGCCUUGAACAAAGCGACUUAAGAGACUUUCUUCCCUGCAAAUAUCUCCUUGGCCUGCAACCACGAUUACCGCGAUUGCAUCGAGGCCUCUGCAUUUUUGCACUGAUAAAGGAAAACGCAGCAGAGUAAAGGCUGGUUUUGGACACAGCCUGUUUUACAAAUUUUAGGGCAGUGAUUUUGGUGAAUGCAGUUGGGUGAAGCUGAUGAACAUUGUCCAUAGCUCUGUUUGCCAGCUGGGUUCAGCAUCAAUGUUUGUUUUCUGCAUUGUGCUACGUUUUGGGACAUCUUUGGUCAUGGUGCCUGUGCUAUGCUAGAAACCAGUCAGUUAUUUCUGGUGCUUUUUACCACCUUCUGUGCAUUUGAGAGUGACAGUGGGUCCACAGCAUUGCUCAGUCACCUGUGGCUGCUUCCAUCCUUGCCCAAAUAAUAUUUAUGCCAACAUCCCCACUUGAACUGUUAGCCAUCGCCCCUCCUUGCUGGUUGUACACCUUGCAGUUUGUCAUUACACUAAAUUAUGAGCUCUUUGGGAGAAGAAUUGUCCUCAGGUCAUUUACUGAACACUGAAUUGCAAUUUUCUUGUUGAACUUGCGGGGUGUUUUGCUGCCGAGUGUGGCUGCAGUUGCGGUUUGUGGUAUUUGCCAUUCCUGCAGGUGCGUUUCCAACACCUCCAUGCGGCUGUGUAGGUGCUGGCGAUCAGCAACCCAGGUCUUGUUUGGAAACGGUGCAUUUUCCUUAAACUCUGAUUAACCAGUUAUGUUUGUUCUGAUUUAAAUGCUUCUGUCAUGUAUUUCACUAUAGGACAGAGCGGUGUGCGGAAUUUCAAGACUUCCGCAGUUGUGUAAGUGAAUGAGAUGUUUUCUUAAAGUAACUAUUUAUACGUGUUUAGAAGAUCCAGAGAAAGAUUUACACGUUGCAUCUCUCCCUCUAACUCAUGCAGUGGCAUCUCUCUCUGUCACGCACGUCACAUGUAACCAGAUUGUAAAAUCCGAAGAGCAGAGGGCAGGUCUCUCUUCCUUUUGUUCGAUGCCAUGUAGUGGCUGGAAGGAUGAGCAAAAGAGAAGAUUUUUCUGCCAGGGACACAACAAAUUAAAAAGGCUUCUCCCUAAUAGAAAUUAAAUUUGAGACACUGUUUAUUUUGAAACAGUCAGGUUAGUAUUUAUCUCAAAUUGGUUUUAGAAAAUGGAUUUUUUUUUUUUUUGAAAAUACAGUCUCAGCCUAAACAAAUAUUAUCGUGUAGUAACUUUACUGGAAAUUUCUGCUUUUCAAUUCCUGUUUGGCAGUGUGGGUUCAAUGUAGUUUUGGAGGAAAAAGCAUACAGUUGUUAAAAUCACAAUGAAAAGGGAACUUGUAAUACAAAAGCAUUAAAAUCAUGUGGCAUUUCCAGUGCACUUUUAAAUGACAAUUUUUCUCUUUUUUUAGAGAUUAAAAAUGAAAAAAAAAAAAGUCUAUUAGCAACACUUAAAUCUUCCAAGUUAAUUUCUAAGUUAACUGAAAGGGGUAUGACCGUGUGUAACUGUAAGGUAGUAAAUUGUUCAUGCAACAAAGCAAAACAGCUAGUAAGAGAGCUAAUAUCCAUACCUUUCACCUAUCUCCUUUUAGCAUAAAAAGUAUAUUCCAUAUUGUCUGGCUUUAAAACUUGUUUACCCAGGCUGGGACUAAAUUAAGCUGUACAAAGCAAAUGCUCUCAUGCACUUUACUGCUACCUGCUUAAAGCCUCCACAUGAGGCACCUGUGGAUAGAUAUUUAGCUUUUUACUUUCCACGGGAAUCAUUAGAUGCCUGGAAGGGAAGACAAGUGGCAUGUCAGGGCUCCCGGGAAGCUGACAGGUACCCGUAAGGGACCCCGUGUCUACAGUUGGCAAAAGACGAAUGCCUUAGUUCCAGCUCUCCAGCCCAGGCUUCCCGCACCCAGCCUGCCUCUGCACGUCACUGCGAUCCCAACAUUGAACUCGCAACAACCCGGACCGAGAAGACUGCCAAAAAAACUCCCGCUAUUCUUCUUCAUCCUCACUAACAAUUUGGUAAUGAAGUAUUGAUUUCCACUCCCCUGCUUAUGGACGAUAUUAGAUUUUCAUUGAUAAACUGCACUGGGGCUGUCUGGUCUCCACUGUCCCUUUUUGCUGUCACUAAAACAAAGUGCCACUGAAGUAAGAUAAUGACUGAGAACAUUGAUGUACUUAUUUUGUCAAUUUGUAACACUUGACAGGAAAGAAAAAAAAAAUUCUUCAUAGUUUAAUGUCCAAGUGUGCUACACAAGAUGCAGUCACAUUGCGAGCUUUACUUUUCAUGGUAAUGUCCAUUUCCUAUUUAUAACCCCUUUGGGAUAGUUUGUCUAAAGGAAAUGUUUCUAUUCUGUGCAGCUAUUACUGUUGCACCUGGGUUGCCCAAUCCAGUCAUUGCACUAGGGAUCAAUACAUCACAGUAAGUACAAGAAUUAUUAAGUUAAAACAGAUUCUGAGCCAAAAAACCUCUGAACAAUGUUAAUCUUCUGUGCAAGUUGUUCAAAUAGUUAUGCUUAACCAUGUUGCUGCCAAAGAUUUGUUUAAAAUGGAUUAUUUUCAGUUUGUUUUAUUCCUCAGAUAUAUAUAUUUAAAUCUCCAUUACGGUUUACGAUGAGACAUAUGCGAUGGAGUGAUUUUUAAACAAAAGUACUAUUGUUAGAUUAUUGAACAUUGUAUAAAUAUAGGUAUAUCUAUAUAUAAAUAUCACUAUAUAAAUAUCUAUAUAUAGAUAUAAAGGGAUAAAAGUAGAAUCGCUUUCUCAGUUAGGUGAGUGUAAAUCUAAUCUCUCUGUUGUAGUCAAUGGAGUUAGCCUGGAUUUAUGCCACCAUGAAUGAGAUCAGAAUCUGGUCUUUGCGCUCCCUGGCUGGUGCUGGGAAGCACAGUUGGCUUCAAGUCAACCGAGACCUGGGGAGAAGGGGCUACAAAGAUGGCAACUUCAAAUCUGUGCUUGUAACUUUUUCAUUAAAACUUUGAGGUCCUGAUUUUAAUUUGUGGAAUAUUCACGUUAAUAAUGAGAUCUAAUUAAGACAUCCAUUAAAAGCCCGUUAAAGUUAAUUUAACGUAAAAAUUCCAAUAGAACUGUAUUAGAUUUUCUCCAUUAAAUUAACGUUAUGGAUUUUUAACGGAUGUCUUAAUUAUACGUUAUUAUUAACGGGAAUACUGUAUUGCACAGAUUAAAAUCGGGUCCCAAGUCAACUCACAAAAUCUUCCAGGAUACGCUAAAGUCACAAGUCCCACCUUACUUAGUGCGCUGCAUGGAAAAUCACGCGCAGCCCUGGUUGAUCUCGCUGAGCGUUUCCUCGCAGCCAAAACAACCUCCGGUCGACAAAUCCAUCUCUGCAUUUAACGAUGAACUUCCUGUAUUCUCAAAGGCAAAAUAAGUCUGGAUCAAGUUGUAAACCAAUGCUCCGUUGCAAAUGAAAUAUCCAAAGUAUGCUAGGCACAAGUUGAGAAGAGGAUCUUUCUCGAAUAAGAGAGGGCUUUGGGGUGUCUUUUUGCUGUUAUUUUGGUUUGGAUGUUCAAGGAUGUAAUUGAAAUGCAGCAUUCACAAAAUCAGACUAAAUACAUUUACUGCAUUCCCUGUGACUUAUGCAGAAGGGCCUGUUUUUGUCAUUGUUUGGGAAAUUUUGACAUGAUCCCUAAACUCAACAUGAAGGAGAAAAAAAAGUCCCUUCUUAUUUACCUCCUAGGGAAAGUGUUGCCCUUAUGCCACAUAUAAUAGCAAAUUGCUUUUUUUAUGGCAUGCAUAACCUAGAUGGGAAAAAAUAUGGCGCUUGAGGGAAGGAGGGAAAAAGUAAAUGAAGUUCCAGGAAUGUCAUUCUGAAGUAAUGAGGCAUGGACAGAAAAUAUACCCCUCACAUCAUCGGAUUGAGAUGGCAGUCGAAAUAGCUUCAUUGAAGUGUCAGCACUCAUCCAUCAAUCAAUCAUCCACAAGGAAAAAUAGCGACAGUACAACGGGGCGGCUUUUAUGGGAUUUACUCAUGGGCAUAGGGAAUAGCAGCUCAAAUGUAGUUCUGACAUGAAAAGCAAGGUGCUGAUAUUAUUUUUUAUGAUGGGAGGAUCAUAAAGUGAAUUGAGAACAGUGAGGUCUGUCUUUGCUUAACCUAUUCAACUGGAAAUGAACGGAGCUCAACUGGAAACGAGCAGAGCCUUCAGAUGGGUUAAGAUUGAAGCCUGCACCGUGCUGAGCACCGGCCAUUGACAACAAAAUUCUAUUAAGGCAAAAUCAAUGCAUUAGCAUCGAGCUCCUCAGAAGCUGUUAAAUUGCACAGCCCACUCCAGAGUUACUCAGUGAAGUUGCACAAGGCGGGUCCAGCGUCACCGGCCCAAAGGCAGCGAGCGCUGCCGUUCAAUCCCGCCUGGGAGAAACCACGUGUGUGUCCCCAGCCCCACACCUUUCCCCGAGCUUUUGGGUGCUCUAGGGAAGAAUAUUUGGCUUAUCGCGGCAUCCAACGGGUGAGAUUCCCACCGACUUCUGAUGGGCCUGUGCUCCUGGGGGUUUGGAACCCGCUUUGGUAGGAGCCCCCCAUGCCGGACGUUUUGCCGCUUGCAGCCACGGCCGAGCCGCUCGGACACCAACACGGGAGCUGCGGGACCGGGAUUUGGGGAGCGCUGGUUCCCCACGGGGAGGUCUGGCCGGCCAGCAGCGCGUUUUGCUCAGGUAGCAUCACUCCAGCACAGGCAAGUGCAGAAACAGCUAUUUCAUUUAAAAUCUGGCCACAAACCUUUAUUACACACUGCUAAACCUUGAUUAUUUUGCCCGCAUCGCCGUCCUCUGGGAACAUUUUAGGUACACAUUUGAAUUAAGUGAUUUUUCUUUUUUUUUUUUUUUUUACAAUAUGAUAUAAAAAAGAAAAUGUACAUCUCUCCUCUCUCUUUCUCUGUACAAAACUGGAUGAGUUGAUAGUUUAUCUGUCAUAUAAAUCAGGUAACACAGAAAAUCAUUGCGUCUUUUCUCUAUCGUAUCUACUCAAUAUCUAUCGUUCUGACUUUUAUUCUUAUUGGAGAUCAUCAAAACAUUAAUUAAAAGCCUGGUGAUCAAACAGCUGAAUAUUUAUGAUUCACAUCCUUGCUUAUUAACAAGUGGCAUAUUGAUAUGCCACAUAUCCAAGCUGCUUAUGCUCUUGCACUGCAAUAAAGCAGUAAGAAUUGUUACCCUUACACACCGCUUUGAGAGAUUUAUUCAGCAAGCACAGCUCCCUUUCUGCCACCGUCCGUGUCAAAAUAAGCCAAAUCAUCUCAAAAAAAAGAAAAAGUUUUAUUUUAAAAGAAGGAGACGUAAUUAGCAUCUCUUUGGAGCCUAGUAUGUAACAAUUCCAGUGCAUCAGUCUCAGGUGUUUUUUUUCCAGGCUCUUAUUAUUUAAGCUGAGAAUGAGAAGGACACUCAGCUUUAAAAAUGGCCAUCAUUAGUACAAUAAUAAUUGUUAGUUAAAAAAAAAAAAAUCUUUGAGAAUCUGCUAACAAACCUGCCCAGUAAUUACUUGUCAAUGCAACUUCAUUAUGGGUUUUAUUACCUACUUGUAAAAGUAUUUACAAGACUGACCUCCUUAGCCUUUUUAGAGAUCACGGAGGAUAUAAGAAGUCAUUUUAAAAAUCAAUGCUUGUACAUUAACGUGAUAGGGGUUGAAGUCUUCCAAGCCACUUUUACAGGCUAUUGAGUCAACUCUCACACAUUCAAAUGGCAAGGACUGUUCCCCUAAUUUUUGGUCUUUUAUUCUUAAUCACAUUUUGAUAAAGUGCCAUAUUUCGUGACUAAUUUAUACCCACAGCUCAGUUCCUAUGACAGAAGGGGACAUUCCCACCGGGAAGCAUCUCUGCAGGCGUUGCAGGGGAAGCAAACUGCCCUUGUGGUCGGGAAAAUACACAAGUAACUGAGUUUGGGCAUGGGGGAGCCAGCCAGGGGAGAUUUGCUUUCUGCAGCAUUGCUCCCUGCUAAUUGCUAAUUACUAACGGUCUGAUCCUGCAGCCGAGGUGCUGCCCCCGUUCAAGCACAGCAGCUCAGCUCAGCCCUCGGGUUAGUCCUGCUGCAAAUAUGUUGAGAAAACACAUGGAAAUGAAAGACAGCAACCUCAUCUUUGGUAGAGACUUCCUCCCAGCGAAGAAAUGCCCCUGUGCAGCGCCCGAGGCCACCACCCCUGUCCCCUCUGCACUUGCCAUCGUCACUCUCAGGCUAAAGAAAGUGUGUCGGCUCAGCGGAGGUGGAUCUCCAUCACACAGGGCUUUUGUCUUCCCAAACAGAUAUACGAUGCAAUUUAUAUUUAAAAUUCUCUCUAUAAAGACAGUAUUGAUCACAGAUUCCAGAUCAAUACGUUGCAAUUACAGCAGGCUUUAAAGACCAUCUGUCCCCAAGCAAGAGCACUGAUAUAACCACCUCUAUGUCUUUUGAAAAAGUGCUACUGGUAUGAGCCCAUCUUCUUACAGUACAACCUGACAUAUUAUUUUUGCUCCUAGGAAACUGUGCUUAGGAGCUUCAUAGAGCUGUAACUCCUGGUCCCUGGCCACCCCAGAGGAGACCUCAGAGCAGCUUCUCGUUGGGUUCCAAAGUCUCAACAGGGUCAGUGACACGGUGGUUUUGCUGGCCUGGUUUUCCUGCUCCCCCCGCAAUUUAUCCCACAGGUUGUAACUUUCCUUUUUUUGCCCAACCUCUGUCCUCAGUUGAAAACAAUCAGCAAGAAGUUAUUGAAUUUCACUAAAACUAAGAACUUUUCAGUAAUGGUGCUGAAGAGUCUGAGCUGGACAUUGGUAGGUGGAAACGAAGCCUUUUUUACGUGUGGCAGAUUGGACAUGGUGAAUGUAACAUUUCAAAACUUGUAGCUAAAGAAUAAAUGACAUGCAUCUAAAGGCAGAUUUCAAUUCACAUUUCAUCAAACGCAGGUCCUAAUUUGUCAGCCCCUGAGGUCAAGGUAAGUCUUUUUGCUGAUGGCCAUGGGUGAGCCAGCACCAGGUAGCGAUUCCAGAAAUUUCCUGGAGUUUUUUCUUUUCUUAACCAUUUCCUGUGGUGGUUGACUUCACGCAAGCACAUGGAAUUUAGGAUAAUUUUUCUCCAAUUGUCUCCUGAAAGGAAGUGAAAGAAUUAAAAAAAAAAUAAAACCAGUGGGUUUACAAUGAUACCAGAAGCCAACGUACCUUUGCAAAUCAGCCCGUGCCCAGGGAGGGGGUUUGCAUCCCACACACAUUGCGCCGGGUCCCACCGGGAUGGUCCUGAUCUUCCCUGCAACCACCUCCCUCUCAUUUCAUUCCGGUCUUCAGCUUUAUUUAUACCAACUCCUGAAAAAAAAAAAAAAAAAAAACAGAAGCCAGAUUCUGAAUUCAUUUAUUCUGGUGUAAAUCCAGAGCUGCUCCUUGGAAUUCAGUAUAUUUACCCUCUGCCUACACAGCUCCAAACACUGUCCUCACGGUCCUAACCUUGGAUUCCUAACAUGUUUAGAUGGUUUUGAAAACAACUUGGGCAAACAGUCUCCAGCUCCAUGCAGAUUUAAUCUAAGGCACAGUCUGCACUUGAGAAGUUUUAUAGUUUUGUCAGGGAAGUGAUUGCAAAACUUUGUUAUUGCUGUGACUAUGCUGGUAAAAGUCCUAAUGUGAAAACAGUUGUAUCGCUAUAAAGCACUUUAUACUGGUACAGCUUAUUUUGCUUUGCUGGACCACUUUUAUACCAGUGCAAGCACUUUUAUCCUGGUAUACUUCAGUCACCAUUAGUGGUCAUAUUUUUGUUUUAACUAUGCUGGCAAAAGUGUGAACAGUAGGUAAAGUUUAAGAUGACACUGUUGUUUCUCGUACCAAAGUGUCUGUACAAUAUUUUCUUUGAGAGUAUUUUUAGAAGUGAAAUAGCUGUACCACUGGACUUAACUGCAGAGUUAUAAACUUCCAGUUCAUCAUCACUCUCAGCUCAUGAAAUGUCUUCAGGCCUUUGUAACAAGCCCUGUUUGAGACAACAGAUUAAAUACUAAUCCUAGCGGGUCAUACAUCUCCACUUGAGUUCAUAUCAUCUAGCUGAGCAAACUAGUUUUUUUUGAUCUAAGACAACAAAUUCUUGCAUUAGACUUCUUAGACGAGAUAGCAGGAAAAAUAUUAAUAUCUUUUAAAGAGAAAAAUGAAAAUGACAUCUUGCAAAAAUGUAGCUACAUUAAAUGCAAAGAAUGUUUUCCCUUGAAACCCACAUCCCCGGGUGGGCACCAGCCCCAGGGGAAGGGCUGUAGUGACAGAACAAACAUCCACGCAACGGCCUCAAAUGUGGAAGAUUUAUUUGAGCAAUGCUUUCAAUUACUAACUGGUCCAUGCAACAUUUAAAAAAACCUGCAUAUCAAUAUCUAUAUAUAUAUAGAUAUAUAGAUAUAUAUAGGUGGAUAUGCAGCUGUAUGCAGAUACCUACCCCCCAUAUACAUUCAUAUAUUUGUGCACACACUGUGAGUGUAUAUGUGGAGCUGUUUAUAACCAGGCACCCAUUCUAUGGCUGAAGCAGCAGCUGGGCACAGCUGGCACCAAGCGGAGCAGCAGGUAUCUUCAGGAUGUACAAUGCAGUAUUUUGGCUUUAUAACGCAGCAAAUGCUGGAAUGUGCAACACAGGUUGCAAAAGCUGACAAGCUAAACAGGUCUUUGGCUCAGGGUACUUCACUGUCGUGUGUCUCUGGUACAAUGUGCCCUUUUGUCUAGUGCUCAGGCACCACUUAUUAAUCCUUUUAUUUUAUUUUCUUUGUUUUACAUUUGUUUUGGUUUUUAUUAUCUCGAACGUGUCAGCACAAAUCGUGAGAUUCACCCCCGUUUUAAAGAACAGAGCAUAGUUGGCCAUAAUAGUAAAUCUGACGGUUUUGCUCUGCCCCGGCGCUUGUGGUGUGUAAUAGGUUUGUUAUUGGCAGCAUCUGCAGGUUACACCUGUGACCCGUGGCGUUAGGUCUAGAAUUUUGUUUAAAAAAUAAUAAUAAUUUAAAAAAAUAAUCAAAAGCUCAUUUCUGUUUAAAAAAAAUGUAUAUACUACAAAUUGCAAAAAGGAAAGAUUAAACACUUUUUUUUAUAUAUAUUACCAACUCAAAUGGGACUCCUUUCCAAGAGGACUCAUGGUGACUUUAUCUGUAGAAUGUUUCAGUGCUUAUGCACUAAUUUUGUAACAAGUGCAUGCUGUAUAGAAUAUAUUGCCUGUAUACUUAGAGUGGAGGGGGGGCCAAGCUGCUCUUCAUUGUGCACUGCAGCUUGUUCGGAUGAAAAGUUAUGCCUUUGAUGCAUUUUUAUACUGUACAUAUUUGUAUAUAUUGACUAUAUUGCCAUGUUACAAACACAGAUUGUGUUAUAUUUGCUCGUUUCGGUUUCCUACAAAAAAAACCUUGGUCCAUAUUGGGGGAUUUCUAUUAUUAAUUUUUUUUUAAUAGAAAAAUAUGCUCAUCAUUUUUGUUUGUUCCUUUUGUUGGUCAUCGUCUUUCAAUGGUUCCUAAUGCAACGAGAGGGGAGAUUUUGGAGGAACUCCGAGAAGCGAGUCUGUGUUUGCAUGAGACCUGCCCAGUCGCCGGCUGGAAGGGGGUGGGGGGAACAGGGGAAAUUGAAGUCAAGUUUUGCUUUUAAAGCAUGCGUAGUCCCACGGGAAAACCCAUACAUGUACAAUUAUUCUCUUUGUAUUUUAUCUAAUAGUGCCUGAAUAUUUUUUUUUUAAUGUCUUCUUGGAGGAACAAUUCAUAAUUGUCAAAAUUUGAAACAUUAGCUUAAUUUUGUUUUCAUGACCUCUCAUUUCUCCUCCUUAUUUAUUUUGUUGCUGUUUAUAAUGGGCCCCAAGGCCAUUUGUGACAUUGCAGUGGUCUUCUUCCACAUUAAGGAUGUUUUUAAAAUUACUGAGAUUAUUGAGCCAACAGGCUGUUUUAAUCAAAACCAUGUUUCACUUGGUUUGGAUGAUUAUGAAUGGUCCUUACAAUGGGAACAGCCCUUUCUGCUGGGGGACAGAACCACCUAGUGGCCCGAAGCCUCAUGGCAGAGGCGCCUCUACCCAAUAUUUACCGUCUCUCUCAAAGCCAAACUGGCAAUUUGGCUUCAAAUUGUUUGCUUAUUAUAACUAACUUCAACUAAACAAAUUUAUAAUGUUAAUGGCAUUUUUUUUCUCCCUUUGGUUGAUUGCUAAAUAAAUUCGUAUAAUUUAUACUAGAAGAGAUUACUGCUUUUAUUGUUUUGGGUUCCCCCAAACCAAUUAUUAACAAUCAGGACUAUGUAUCUCAUUAAAUUUAAAUCAGGUCAGACCUAUUUAUCUAAGGCCUUUUCUGAUUUACAGGAAGAUGACUGUAUUCCAGUGCAUUUAAGAUGUAUUUCUGCGUAUCAUUUUGCAGCAUUGAAAUCUAUUAAUGAUGAUUUUUUUUUUGUUCUGUAUUUUUACCACGGUAAAUACAUUGUAAAAGAAAAAUCCCUCAACUUUCCCACAGAAAAUGUUACUUUUUAUGCCCAGGGAUUUUAUUUUUAAUAAAAUCACUGCAGUUUUAGAACUGUAAUUAAAGCCCUGAAUAAUAGAUCACACAUCUUUAUCUGUUGUGUUUAAAAAGGAAAAAAAAAAUAGCCCAAACUGCUCCCAUAAUCCUGAAUGCCUCAUUUCCAUAAAAAAGGUUUCUAUACAUAUAUUAUUUACAUUUUUAAACAUGGUAAUUCUUUCCUUUGUGGCAUAAAAUGUCUCUUUUUCCACUGCAGCUAUUGGAAAGCGCCUGCUCACAUCUGAAAUGUUAUCGUAAUUUGCAUCAGGAAACCCAACUGCAGACAUUAAGGACUUGGGUGUGUUCAAUUAUGGUUUUGCUGGAGGCUGUCCCUCAUUCUAAUGCUGCACUCAUUGAACUACCUUUCUGAAAUCUCGCUGAUACGGUUCACCAUAGACAUGCUUCACAACAUCAUUAGCUUUGCAAAUGGCUUCAUUUCAGUCAAUGCAGACUUCAGUUUUGGCCAAUUGUAAAAUGGAAAUUUGAAAAGAAAAAAAAAAAAAACAGAUGCACUUAAAACAUGAAAAGAAUUAUUUAUAUGAUAAAAAUAUAUUUAGAUUUUCAAAGCACAAGACUGAACAGAAGUGCUCUUUUUAUGCUUUCUGAAGAUGUUACUGUUAAAAGUCUUUCUACAUCAGGCUUAAUAAAUCUGUAAUGACAUUUGA